UACGUAGGGGGCAAGCGUUGUCCGGAUUCAUUGGGCGUAAAGAGCGUGUAGGCGGCUUGGCAAGUCCGUUGUGAAAACUGGAGGCUUAACCUCCAGACGUCGAUGGAAACUGCCUGGCUAGAGUCCGGAAGAGGAGAGUGGAAUUCCUGGUGUAGCGGUGAAAUGCGCAGAUAUCAGGAAGAACACCCGUGGCGAAGGCGGCUCUCUGGGACGGUACUGACGCUGAGACGCGAAAGCGUGGGGAGCGAACAGG
rnacentral:rRNA from 1 species